GAUGAACGCUGGCGGCGUGCCUAAUACAUGCAAGUCGAGCGAACAGACGAGGAGCUUGCUCCUCUGACGUUAGCGGCGGACGGGUGAGUAACACGUGGAUAACCUACCUAUAAGACUGGGAUAACUUCGGGAAACCGGAGCUAAUACCGGAUAAUAUAUUGAACCGCAUGGUUCAAUAGUGAAAGACGGUUUUGCUGUCACUUAUAGAUGGAUCCGCGCCGCAUUAGCUAGUUGGUAAGGUAACGGCUUACCAAGGCAACGAUGCGUAGCCGACCUGAGAAGGUGAUCAGCCACACUGGAACUGAGACACGGUCCAGACUCCUACGGGAGGCAGCAGUAGGGAAUCUUCCGCAAUGGGCGAAAGCUUGACGCAGCAACGCCGCGUGAGUGAUGAAGGUCUUCGGAUCGUAAAACUCUGUUAUUAGGGAAGAACAAAUGUGUAAGUAACUAUGCACGUCUUGACGGUACCUAAUCAGAAAGCCACGGCUAACUACGUG
rnacentral:rRNA from 1 species